GAUGAAGAACGUAGCAAAAUGCGAUAAGUAAUGUGAAUUGCAGAAUUCAGUGAAUGAUCGAAUCUUUGAACGCACAUUGCGCCCGCUGGUAUUCCGGCGGGCAUGCCUGUUCGAGCGUCAUUUCAACCCUCAAACCCCCGGGUUUGGUGUUGGGGAUCGGCUCUGCCUCACGGCGGUGCCGCCCCCGAAAUACAGUGGCGGUCUCGCUGCAGCCUCCAUUGCGUAGUAGCUAACACCUCGCAACUGGAACGCGGCGCGGCCAUGCCGUAAAACCCCAACUUCUGAAUGUUGACCUCGGAUCAGGUAGGAAUACCCGCUGAACUUAAGCAUAUCAAUAAGCGGAGGA
rnacentral:misc_RNA from 1 species